UUACCUAUCAGGAGGGGGAUAGCCGCAAGUCGGAUUAAUACCCCAUGAAACAGGGGUCCCGCAUGGGAAUAUUUGUUAAAGAUUCAUCGCUGAUAGAUAGGCAUGCGUUCCAUUAGGUAGUAGGCGGGGUAACGGCCCACCUAGCCUGCGAUGGAUAGGGGUUCUGAGAGGAAGGUCCCCCACAUUGGAACUGAGACACGGUCCAAACUCCUACGGGAGGCAGCAGUGAGGAAUAUUGGUCAAUGGGCGAGAGCCUGAACCAGCCAAGUAGCGUGAAGGAUGAAGGUCCUACGGAUUGUAAACUUCUUUUAUACGGGAAUAAAGUUUCCUACGUGUAGGAUUUUGUAUGUACCGUAUGAAUAAGCAUCGGCUAACUCCGUG
rnacentral:rRNA from 1 species